rnacentral:rRNA from 1 species
GUCGAGCGAGAACAGCCCUUCGGGGCUGGGGAAAGCGGCGAACGGGUGAGUAAACACGUGGGUAAAUCU